rnacentral:rRNA from 1 species
UAAUACGGGGGGAGCAAGCGUUGUUCGGAUUUACUGGGCGUAAAGGGCGCGUAGGCGGUAGCACAAGUCAGUUGUGAAAUCUCCGGGCUUAACUCGGAAAGGUCAACUGAUACUGUGCGACUAGAGUGCAGAAGGGGCAACUGGAAUUCUCGGUGUAGCGGUGAAAUGCGUAGAUAUCGAGAGGAACACCUGCGGCGAAGGCGGGUUGCUGGGCUGACACUGACGCUGAUGCGCGAAAGCCAGGGGAGCGAACGGGAUUAGAUACCCCGGUAGUCCUGGCCUUAAACGAUGGAUGCUUGGUGUCUGGAGUUUUAUAGUCUCCGGGUGCCGCAGCUAACGCGUUAAGCAUCCCGCCUGGGGAGUACGGUCGCAAGACU